CAGCGCUCGUUGCGUGCGGGCGGUUCCCGGCGUGGUGACUGAUUCUGGCAGGAGUUUUGGUAUACUUGCUGUAUAAGAUAUGGCAUCUGUAAGCCGCGUUUAAGACUGUUGGCUGUCGCAUUUUCCGGUCAACACCGAACUGCAGCCUGUGGAAUUUUCACCACCCUCAAACCGACCACAGCUCGUGUGCGGCAGUACGUGCGCCGCCGUUGGUACCGAGAUUAGAAACGUCCAUCUGCCGGUCAAAACUGAACUGCGGCCGACGGGAACUCCAGCUCUCUCAAAGGAGCCAUCAAGGUGGUGGCACCGUUCCAGCACACUGGCCAAUGGGCGAAAUCGAGCUCUUUCAGAGUUCGCGAGUUGGGGGUCACCGCUCCAGUACACCGACCAAUGGACGUCACUUCAACAGAUGACGUGACCCACCUGACCCGGUGGCGCUGGUGUCCAGCUGACAACUGACCGACCUCCAAGACCUGGCGCUAGGAUCCGCUCGCAGGUCUUUGUCGGCUGGCGCCGGUGUCCUCUGCAGUCGGGCGACCACAGACACCAUCAGCGCAAUGAAGACCAUCGCAGCAGCACGUGUAAUCGGUGUCGCGGAUGGUGUCCGAGGGGGUAAGCGGGGGAAGGCAGGUCUACCUGACUUCUCUCCUGGUUACCCCCUCCCAUGCUUGGGUGGUAUGUUUGAGCCCAGACAUACCACCCAAGCACUUUAUUGGGUGGGGGAGGGGAACAGGGUGGUCCCCGGU